ensembl:lncRNA novel transcript (contains ZIM2-AS1 and PEG3-AS1)
CACACAGAAGGAGAUUCUAGGAGAGAAACAGAGAAAGGCAGACAGUCUGGCUCCAGCCACCUUGGCGUUUCACCUUCCCUGUAUUGAAUAAAGUUCAGGACCUUUGCAGGUGCAGCUCCCUCCACACCCUGAGUCUUCAUGUGGCUCCAUCUUGUCUCCAACCAGUGCUCUGAACAGAGUUCACCACCCAAGGGAGCCCUCUCUGACUGCUGUCCCCCGAGCACCUGCUUUGUUCCCUUCUUGAGAUAGUGUCUUGCAAUGUCGCCCAGGCUGGAGUGCAGUGGUGCCCCUCCUGUUGUGAAUGGACAGAGUCCUGAGCAAGGAAACCUAGAAGGGAGAGAGGAAUACCAUGGAAUUGAGUCCUGUCUGGUAGCACUGACAGACACAGUGGCCAGCCACCCUCAUGCCACCCUGUCCUGCCAUGGGAAGGAACAGCAGCUCUAGAGUUCCUAUGGGAACUCUCUUUCCUUCUCACUGAACUCUAGCUUCAUCAAUAACUCAGUGCCUCUGGCCAAGUUUUUAGCCUCUGGGACAACAUCCACUAUAUCCAUAUGAGGCACUCAUGUAACACGGUGAUUAAGAGUACAGAUGCUGAAGCCAGCAGCCUAAGUCUGAAUCCUGACUGCCAAUUAUUAAUAUAAGUUGUGGAACCAUGGUCAAGUUACUCAACCUCUUUAUGCCUCUGUCUCCUGGUCUACGAAAUGAAGCUUUGAAUCUGCUGUUAUUAAGUUGCUGGUGCUGAAAUAACACUUAUUAUUUAUGAUCUAACUGAAAUGGGAACACUGGAAACUUCUUUGAAACUGAAGAAAAAAAUGAAAAAGAAGUUUUUACAAUCAAAACUGCCAUGAAGACUGCUUUACCCAAAAUUUUGGUCCACAGCUUUCAUUGAAUUACUUAUCAGGGCAAACAAAGUUUAGCCAUGUGAACACGUUCCAAUUUUGUUGGAAAUAAUUUGGAUCCAGCUAUCUUUAUACAAUGGUGAGUUCGUAUUGCAUCUCAUGGCUAAAAUACUGAGGUAAAGGCUUUUGGAUCUUUGUGUGUGUGUGUGUGCAUGUGACAAAAACAAGCAAUGGGGAAAGGAGUCCCUAUUUAAUAAAUGGUGUUGGGAGAACUGGCUAGCCAUAUGCAGAAAGUUGAAACUGGAGCCCCUCCUUAUACCAUAUACAAAAAUCAACUCAAGAUGAAUUAAAGACUUAAAUGUAAAAACCCAAACUAUAAAAACCCUAGAAGAAAAUCUAGGCAAUACCAUUCAGGACAUGGGCACAGGCAAAUAUUUCAUGACAAAGAUGCCAAAAGCAGUAGCAACAAAAGCAAAAAUUGACAAAUGGAAUCUAAUUAAACUAAAGAGCUUCUGUACAGCAAAGAAAUUAUCAUCAGAGUGAACAGACAGCUUACAGCAUGGGAGAAAAUUUUUGCAGUAUAUCCAUCUGACAAAGGUCUAAUAUUCAGCAUCUACAAGGAACUUAAACAAAUUUACAAGAAAAAAAAACAACGCCAUUAAAAAAUGGGCAAAGGACGUGGACAGACACUUCUCAAAAGAAGAAAUUUAUGUGGGCAAUGAACAUUUUUUUUAAAAAAGCUCAACACCACUGAUCAUUAGAGAAAUGCACAUGAAAACCACAAUGAGAUACCAUCUCACACCAGUCAGAAUGGCUAUUACUUAAAGGUCAAAAAACAACAGAUGAUAGCAAGGUUGUGAAGAAAAAUGAACACUUUUAUACGUUGGUUGGAGUAUAAAUUAGUUCUACCCUUGUCGAAGACAGUGUGGUGAUUCCUCAAAGACCUAGGGGAAGAAAUAUCAUUUGACCCAGCAAUCUCAUUACUGGGUAUAUACCCAGAGGAAUAUAAAUCAUUCUAUUAUAAAGAUACAUGUGCAUGUUCAUUGCAAAAUAGCAAAAACAUGGAAUCAACCUAAAUGCUCAUCAAUGACAGACUUGAUAAAGGAAAUAUGGUACGUAUACACCAAGGAAUACCAUGCAGCCAUAAAAAGGAACAAGAUAAUGUCUUUUGCAGGGACCUGGAUGGAACCAGAAGCCAUUAUCCUCAGCAAAUUAAUGCAGGAACAGAAAAGCAAAUACCACAUGUUCUCACUUGUAAGUGGUAGCUGAAUGAUGAGAACACAUGGACACAUGGUGGGGAACAAUACACACUGGGGCCUGUUGCAGGGUGCGGAGUGGGAGGGAGAGCAUCGGGAAGAAUAGCUAAUGCAUGCUGGGCUUAAUACCUAGGGGAUGGAAUGAUCUGUGCUGCAAACCACUAUGGCACACAUUUACCUAUGUAACAAACCUACACAUCCUGCACAUGUACCCCUGACCUUAAAAUAAAAGUUGGAAAUAAAAAAAACCCUAAACAUAUACCUACUACCUGAUCCAGUGAUUUCAUUUUUAAGUAUUUACCCAAGAGAAAUAAAAACAUAUGGCCACACAUGCAAAAGAAAUACUUGUACAUGAAUGUUCUUAGCAGCUAUAUUCAUAAUAGCCAAAAAUCUGGAAACAGCCCAGGUGUCAAUCAAUAGUAGAAUAAAUAACCAAAGUAUGCUAGGUUCAUGCGAUGGAAUACUACACUCAGCAAAAAAGGAACAAACUGCCUAUACAUGCGAUAAAAUGGAUGAAUAUAGAAAAACAUGCUGAGUGAAAGAAGAGUUACACAACGAAUGCAUGCUGUGUCAUUCCAUUCAUGCUAAUUCUACAACAAGCAAAACUAAUGUGUGGUGAAAAUAAAUUGGUGGUUGCCCCUAAGGAGACAGAGUUGGAGACUGAUUGAUGAGGAGCAAGAGGGAAUUUUGGGAUUGACAAUAUUGUUUUGUAUAUUAAUAGAGAUUUGAGUUACACAGGUGUACAUAUUUUCCAAAACUCAUUGAAUAAUAUCCUUAAGAUCUGUAUGUUUUGAUGUAUGUAAAUUUGACCUCACAAUAGAAAAAAAAGAAUCCUUAAAAAAAUGAAAGAACUAAGUACAUAUAAAUGGGAAAAAUGCUUGUAGACAGACUUUUCAUGUAAUUUAAAAUCUUAUAAUUAUCUUGAAUAAUAAAUACUCAUUAGAUGUUGGGUGUUUUCCAAUUAAAAAUGGGUUAUAAUAUGAAAAAAACAUGUUUCUAAAAAUUACAGAAUGGUUUCAGCUAUAAAAUGCUAACAUCUGAUAAACAGUUCAAGAUUUAUUGCUUCCUGAGUUUUCACUAAAAUUUAAGGUUACUAAAAGUAAGAAUUGCAAUAAUAUAUAACUCUGUAAGUUGUAUUCUUAUUGAGAAAACAAUAAUUUUAUGUAGUUUAGAGGUUAUUUAAAAGUUAUUUAUUUAAA